UACGUAGGGUCCGAGCGUUGUCCGGAAUUAUUGGGCGUAAAGAGCUCGUAGGCGGUUUGUCGCGUCUGCUGUGAAAUCCCGAGGCUCAACCUCGGGCCUGCAGUGGGUACGGGCAGACUGGAGUGCGGUAGGGGAGAAUGGAAUUCCUGGUGUAGCGGUGGAAUGCGCAGAUAUCAGGAGGAACACCGGUGGCGAAGGCGGCUCUCUGGGACGGUACUGACGCUGAGACGCGAAAGCGUGGGGAGCGAACAGG
rnacentral:rRNA from 1 species